rnacentral:lncRNA from 1 species
AACUUCAUCUUGAAUAUGUGUUAUGCAAUUCAAUGACAUGCUUUGAAUGAAAUGGGCAUGAGUUCUAGCAUUUGAAACUAAAUGAUGAAACGCCUUCUAAGUAGCAACCAAGCAAAGAAUAAUGAGAUCAUGCAACGACUUUUAGAAAACAAAGAAUGCACAGAUUUUAACUCUCCAAAUAAAUGUUUAGGCUCAAGUCUCACAAGGUUGUAGCGUUAGUUUGAGUUCCUUCCUUCAAGCAUGUUACAAAAACUGAUUUUUC